UCUUGCUGAUACCUGGGGAGCCUCAGCCAGAGACCUCUAGCUGCAGCCUGGUGGGGAGUGGUCCACCCCUGCAGCUGGUCCUCCCA
rnacentral:lncRNA from 1 species